rnacentral:tRNA from 1 species
UCCGGGGUCGUUCAAUAGGUAGGACGGCGGGUUUUGGUCCCGUUAAUAGGGGUUCGAUCCCUCUCCCCGGAG